GUUUCCGUAGUUCAAUGGAUAGAAUUCUCCCCUCCGAAGGGAGUGAUGUGAGUUCGAUUCUCACCGGAAACA
rnacentral:tRNA from 1 species